UACGUAGGGGGCAAGCGUUGUCCGGAUUUAUUGGGCGUAAAGAGCGUGUAGGCGGCCGUGUAGGUCCGUUGUGAAAACUCGAGGCUCAACCUCGAGACGUCGAUGGAAACCACACGGCUAGAGUCCGGAAGAGGAGAGUGGAAUUCCUGGUGUAGCGGUGAAAUGCGCAGAUAUCAGGAAGAACACCUAUGGCGAAGGCAGCUCUCUGGGACGGUACUGACGCUGAGACGCGAAAGCUAGGGGAGCGAACAGG
rnacentral:rRNA from 1 species